rnacentral:rRNA from 1 species
CCGGCGCACGGUGAGUAACGCGUAUGCAACUUGCCUAUCAGGAGGGGAUAACCCGGCGAAAGUCGGACUAAUACCGCAUGAAGCAGGGGCCCCGCAUGGGGAUAUUUGCUAAAGAUUCAUCGCUGAUAGAUAGGCAUGCGUUCCAUUAGGCAGUUGGCGGGGUAACGGCCCACCAAACCGACGAUGGAUAGGGGUUCUGAGAGGAAGGUCCCCCACAUUGGUACUGAGACACGGGCCAA